rnacentral:tRNA from 1 species
GGGGUCAUAGCUCAGUUGGUAGAGCAUUUCGCUGGCAGCGAAAAUGUCGGGAGUUCAAUUCUCCCUGGCUCCA